rnacentral:rRNA from 1 species
AGUAGCUUGCUAUGAGCUGUUUUAGCGGCGGACGGGUGAGUAACGCGUGAGCAACCUUUCCCAGACAGGGGGAUAACGCAGCGAAAGUUGCACUAAUACCGCAUAAGACCACAGAGCCACAUGGCAUAGGGGUCAAAGGAGCAAUCCGGUCUGAGGUGAGCUCGCGUCCCAUUAGGUAGUUGGUGAGGUAACGGCCCACCAAGGCGACGAUCGGUAGCCGACCUGAGAGGGUGAUCGGCCACAUUGGAACUGAGACACGGUCCAAACUCC